rnacentral:rRNA from 1 species
AUACGAAGGGUGCAAGCGUUGUUCGGAUUUACUGGGCGUAAAGCGUCCGUAGGUGGUUUGUUAAGUCAGGGGUGAAAUCCCGGGGCCUAACCCCGGAACUGCCUUUGAUACUGGCAGGCUGGAGCGCGAUAGAGGAAGAUGGAAUAUCUGGUGUAGGGGUGAAAUCCGUAGAUAUCAGAUAGAACACCAAUGGCGAAGGCAGUCUUCUGGAUCGUUGCUGACACUGAGGGACGAAAGCGUGGGUAGCAAACAGAAUUAGAUACUCUGGUAGUCCACGCCCUAAACGAUGCAUGCUUGUUGUUGGUUUCCUUCGGGGAAUCAGUGACGAAGCUAACGCGUUAAGCAUGCCGCCUGGGGACUACGAUCGCAAGAUUAAAACUCAAAUGAAUUGACGGGG